CGAAAGCCUGACGGAGCAAUACCGCGUGAGGGAGGAAGGCUUUUGGGUUGUAAACCUCUUUUUUCAAGGAAGAAGCACGUGACGGUACUUAUUGAAUAAGCAUCGGCUAACUCCGUGCCAGCAGCCGCGGUAAUACGGAGGAUGCAAGCGUUAUCCGGAAUCAUUGGGCGUAAAGCGUCCGCAGGCGGCCGAUCAAGUCUGCUGUUAAAGCGUGGAGCUUAACUCCAUAAUGGCAGUGGAAACUGAUUGGCUGGAGUGUGGUAGGGGCAGAGGGAAUUCCCGGUGUAGCGGUGAAAUGCGUAGAUAUCGGGAAGAACACCAGUGGCGAAGGCGCUCUGCUGGGCCAUAACUGACGCUCAUGGACGAAAGCCAGGGGAGCG
rnacentral:rRNA from 1 species